UCCUUCAGUAACUGCGAGUGAAGAGGGAAAAGCUCAAAUUUUAAAUCCGUUAGGUUUUACCUGACCGAGUUGUAAUUUGAAGAGGCGUUUUCUGAGGUUCUGAUCAGUCCAAGUCCUUUGGGAUAAGGCAUCACGGAGGGUGAGAAUCCCGUUCGGUUGAUCAAAUCUUCUUUACGAUACGUCAUCAAAGAGUCAAGUUGUUUGGGAAUGCAGCUUAAAAUGGGAGGUAAAUUUCUCCUAAGGCUAAAUAACGGCGAGAGACCGAUAGCGAACAAGUACCGUGAGGGAAAGAUGAAAAGAACUUUGAAAAGAGAGUUAAAUAGUACGUGAAAUUGUUGAAAGGGAAACGAUUGAAGCCAGUCGUACCGGCGGGUAAUCAGCCUUUUGGGUGUGAUUAUGUGGAGCGUGAGGAGCUAAUCGCCUUCAUCUUUGCAUAUUCGUGCACUUUGGGUGUAUUUGCUCGUGUGGUAGGUUAACAUCAAUUUUGAUCAUCAUAAAAUGAUUGAAGGAAUGUAGCUUCGAUCUCGUAUUGAAGUGUUAUAGCCUUUGGUAGAUGUGAUGAUCGGGAUUGAGGAUUGCAACGGAUACCCU
rnacentral:rRNA from 1 species